UACGAAGGGGGGCUAGCGUUGCUCGGAAUCACUGGGCGUAAAGCGCACGUAGGCGGCUUUUUUAAGUCAGAGGUGAAAUCCUGGAGCUCAACUCCAGAACUGCCUUUGAUACUGGAGAGCUUGAGUCCGGGAGAGGUGAGUGGAACUGCGAGUGUAGAGGUGAAAAUUCGUAGAUAUUCGCAAGAACACCAGUGGCGAAGGCGGCUCACUGGCCCGGUACUGACGCUGAGGUGCGAAAAGCGUGGGGGAGCAAACAGGGAUUAAGAUACCCC
rnacentral:rRNA from 1 species